rnacentral:tRNA from 1 species
GGGGAUACAGCUCAGUGGUAGAGCGCAUGCUUAGCAUUCACAAGGUCCUGGAUUCAAUCCCCAGUACCUCCA